UACCCUGUUUACAGCAAGAGUUCUGUUUUAUCAAUCAAGACUUUUGCUUGCUGCUUUUGGAGGACAUGUUUCACCAUGGUCUAGGUCAGUAAUAGUUAGUCUGAAGCACCAGAUCAGAGUCACAUUUACCACUUGUCAUCACUCUGCACAUCUUUCUAUGAGUUUCUAUUUUUAUAUGUAUAUGACCCUUGUGGGUUCAAGGGGUAAAGGAAGACUGAAACAGAAGAGGGUGGUGCUCUCCCCACACAACAAGCAGUGGUUGCAAGAAAGGCAGAAGAGGAAAAUGGCAAAUGUAAACUGACUAGAAACACAUGUAGGUUGCAGUGACACUGCCAAACAAUCUUCUCAAAACCAGUAACACUUGCAAAUACCAGAGAUCUCUCACUGACAGCUUGAAAAAGCCCUACCCUUGCUCAUAUUGUACCCUUUACUUUCUAGAUGAAUGUUUUAAUUAUUGCUUAUACAUUUGUUACACAGCACAUGCCAUGUGGUGGCUGUCCUCACAUGAGUACUGUCCAAGAAGAAUCUCUGCUCCUUUUUCCCUCAAAAGCACCCAGUAGGAACCAAGGCAUCCCAAAUAUUAUUGUUUAGACACCCUAAGAUUAUGUUGGGGGUAUGACAAUGCUUAGCAUUGCUGCUGUUGCCCAAAAAGAUGUCUCAUGGAUUGAGGCCAUGACAUUGCCGGUGUACCCGCUGCCAUAUCUGGAAGCCACCACUAGCAAAAGCAGCUAACAUAGGUAUGGCAAAUGCCACUUCUGAUCAUGCAGCUCCUCCUUCCUUCCCACAAUACCCUGGAGGCAUUACAUCUGUGUCUGCCCUCUGUAAGGAGACUGCCUCUAAGCCAUCGCCACACAGCUGCUCCAGCUGCUCCUUCAUGCCUCAGUCUCAUCAAAGCCAGAACGAAGCCUUAAAUCUUUAAUUAUUUUGUGACUCUCCAUGAUGUUCUUUUGAUGGCAAUGCAGUUCUUUUGCUGUGAAAGAAAUCAUGCGCAAAGGAGAGUGCGGGAAGAAAAGUGAGGGAGAGAAUACAUCAUCAGUGGGAAAGCUAUGGGCUGUCUUUGAACUUCUGACAGAAGCAAACAGUGAUAGAUGCAUACAAAAAUAAAAUAUUGCAUGGAAAUGGAAGUGCAUAUGAAAACACAGGAAAAUACUGAGAACCAGUGCAGAGAACUCUCUGAACCAGUAUGAAGUCAAAGCAUUAAGCUGAGAGGAAAUGUUAAACUUUUUAAAAAAUUACUAGUGGAAAAAAAUAAAAUGACCUAACAAAUAUCCAGGAAUCAAACAUUAAUAAAGAGUGCAAAAGGAUUGAUGGAUAAGUACUCAUUAUGGUCUGGCUUUCAGUGUUUCAUGUAUUAUUAGACAGUCAUCUGGGAACCCUCCUGCUGUUACUUACAAAAAUACAAACAGCACUACUCAUGACAGGCUGAACAACAACUAUGACAAGUGGAUUUGUUACUAUGAAACUGAAACAGGGACAUGUCAGUGAACUGACAGAAGUCCUUGAAUUUUGAAUUUCUUUCUUGUGUUUUGACUCAGUUAGUAAUGCUCAACUGAGAAUUGAUCAAAGCUGUCCUCCCUAUUCGUAGAUGAUAACCUUACUAUCACUUAUGACUGUCCUGUGUUUGUUUGUUUGCCAGACCUGAAAAGGAGCUCGGGGUAAUCUUGAAACUUUGUCAUUUUCAUCAACCAAGAUGAGUCCAGUAAAAGAUAUUACCUGACCUAACUUUUUUCUCUGUUAAAAACCAUACUUCUCAGACUGCAGGCUAAAUUGUAAUUUAAUGUUUCAUAUUUCAGCUUUACAAAAUAGACAAUACAUUUAAUUCAUAGAGUUUAAACUGAAAUUAUUUACCGGUUUUCUCUAUAUGUUCAUAAAUCUCAAAUGGUAUUUCCCAAGCUCACUCCAAAUACUGUUAUCCCAAUGGAUGCUGCUGAACUUGGGGCUAUUGGCUUGAUUCUGCAAGGGGCUUAGCUCCAGUGUUCAGGGGAGACAACAGGGACCAGCUCCUUUUUGGGAUUGGGCUCUUUGUGCACUGAUGUGGAGUGCUCGUUAGAGCUACAGUGUUUGGUGCCACAGUCCAUAACCAAUCAGCAGGAUGGCUUUGUCCUAGGAAACAUUCAGGAAAUGAGCACUGUAGUCUGAUAGUACAAAGAGAUAGAGAAGAGAGUCAUUUUUUAUAUUUUUAUUUGACCCACAGAAUGUAGCCUUAAGAAUGUCAUGUUAAAUGGGUUACAAAAUCACAUAAACACCUUACCUAUUUCCUUCUUACAGGCUUGAUUCUGCAAACCUUAAUGUCAUAGUCACCUAACCAGAUCUAUGAAAACAUUAACACUACUAAGGAAAAAAGGAACAAAUCCAACCCAGCUAUAUCUGGCACUUCCCUUUUAGCAACUGCACUAUCUUUCUUUGGACUGCAGCUAUCACAUUUGCAAUGUCUGCCCUCACCCCUUCUUCCUCCCAGCCAGACUUUUCAUUCAGCUAUGGGGACCCUUUCAAAACACCAGUUUUUUUCCUGGUCACUGUUAAACAGUUUAUUCAAGCUGACCUUUAUGUAUCAAUUCUACACACAGUACAACAGAAGCAUAUGCCUGGAAUGUACCAACACUAAUUUUGCUACAGAAUUUGCAUUUCCUUCUGAUAGUCUCCUUUGUGAAUUCUCUUUGUCCCUUUGCUUGGAGAAUCAUAAUCUCUCCUCAGUCUCAAGUAUUAUAAUCAAGUGGUCAUGUUUAUGUAAUUGUUUUAUUUUGUCCUCUUUGCUUAUGGUUGUUUGUUUCAGUUGAGAAGGGCUAGUUUGAAAGUCUUUGUUUUCUCUAGAAUAUUUUCCAUUUGUGUUAUAAUACAUGCCUUAUUAAA